rnacentral:rRNA from 1 species
UACAGAGGGUGCGAGCGUUAAUCGGAAUUACUGGGCGUAAAGCGCGCGUAGGCGGCUUUGCAAGUCGGGUGUGAAAUCCCCAGGCUUAACCUGGGAACUGCAUUCGAGACUGCAUUGCUAGAGUAUGGGAGAGGGAAGUGGAAUUUCCGGUGUAGCGGUGAAAUGCGUAGAUAUCGGGAGGAACAUCAGUGGCGAAGGCGACUGCCUGGCCCAACACUGACGCUGAGGUGCGAAAGCGUGGGUAGCAAACAGG